rnacentral:lncRNA from 1 species
AAUGCAGGUAUGGUAAAAGCAUGUGUCCCAAUCUGUUACUUCGGCGAAUUUCAAAGGAAACAAAAUGGUCAAUGGGAAUAGAAAUGGACGAGUGAAGGAGAAGGGGUUGCUGCUAUUUCGAUAACAAAAAAUACAUCGUUUACGAAAAUGUACAAUGAAAUAGAAAACAUGCUUAACGUCGAUUCCUCUCAGUACGAUAUGGAAUUGGGAUUUUU